rfam:Microbacterium ketosireducens strain DSM 12510 RS81_contig000049, whole genome shotgun sequence.
CACGUGCUCCGGGGUCGGUGAGAAUCCGAACCGGCGGUGACAGUCCGCGAGCCGAGGCAUCAGCAUCCGACAAGGUGCCGCCCCGGCUGAUCCGGUGGAAUUCCGGUACCGACGGUGAUGCGACAGAGGUCCGAGAGGAUGCUCGUCGCUAGUCCGGAUGGGAGGCAGCACGAG